rnacentral:rRNA from 1 species
AAGGAUCAUUAAAUAAUCAAUAAUCUUGGCUUGUCCAUUAUUAUCUAUUUACUGUGAACUGUAUUAUUAUUUGACAUUUGAGGGAUGUUCCAAUGUUAUAAGGAUAGACAUUGGAAAUGUUAACCGAGUCAUAAUCAGGUUUAGGCCUGGUAUCCUAUUAUUAUUUACCAAAUGAAUUCAGAAUUAAUAUUGUAACAUAGACCUAAAAAAUCUAUAAAACAACUUUUAACAACGGAUCUCUUGGUUCUCGCAUCGAUGAAGAACGUAGCAAAGUGCGAUAACUAGUGUGAAUUGCAUAUUCAGUGAAUCAUCGAGUCUUUGAACGCAACUUGCGCUCAUUGGUAUUCCAAUGAGCACGCCUGUUUCAGUAUCAAAACAAACCCUCUAUCCAACUUUUGUUGUAUAGGAUUAUUGGGGGCCUCUCGAUCUGUAUAGAUCUUGAAAUCCCUGAAAUUUACUAAGGCCUGAACUUGUUUAAAUGCCUGAACUUUUUUUUAAUAUAAAGGAAAGCUCUUGUAAUUGACUUUGAUGGGGCCUCCCAAAUAAAUCUCUUUUAAAUUUGAUCUGAAAUCAGGCGGGAUUACCCGCUGAACUUAA